CCAGUCAAAAGGUCAAAAUCAGUAUGUCACCAAUUCUGGUGCCACGCCAAAACCACCGGCCACCGCUUGUGGGAAAGUGCAAAAAGCCGAAAACUGAUAAAUAGCCAAGAAGAAGAAAGCCAAAAAAGGGACAAGAAGGAAGAACUCAAGGAGGAGAAAAGAAACUAUUAAAAAUGGUCACUUUGGUGGUGGCAACAACUCUUGAUCCAGCCUCCAUCAACCCGGCUAAGGCCCUUCUGACCAUGCCCGGUUGGCAUCACCCUGGCCCGCUAUUUGAUGGAAUCAGAAGCUUCAUCAAUGGAGAUAAAUUAAGGUUGCUGGAGCAUGACAAGAGCAUAAUUGCGGAGGAUGAUUUGGACCAACGUUGGGAAAACGCUACUGGUGAAAUAGUUGAUGAGAUCAUAUUCCUUAGCAAACAUACUGCUGUUUCCAACCUCCCCGCCCUCACCAUCCACCCAAUUGGAAUCCCGCAUUUGAAAGAGGGAGAUGAAGCACCACAAGGAGGGAGGCCAGGAUGGGCAGCGCCACCGAGUCCUCGGAUGGGGCAAUGGCUGAUUCUUUUGAAGAAAAUUGCUCAAUCUCAUAAUUUGAUUCCUGAAUUUGAGAUUACUUUGGAAGCUACUCAUCAUGGGCCUGUGACAAGUAAACCUACAAUGUUCAUUGAAAUUGGUAGCACAGAAGACUAUUGGAAGAGAGUGGAUGCAGCUCAAGUGAUUGCUCUACUAGUUUGGGAAGGACUGGGAUUUGGAGAAGAAGCUUCCAUUGGGAAUUGGAGCAGCAAGAGUGAAAGGAAAAAAGUCCUUCUUGGCAUUGGUGGAGGGCAUUAUGUACCAAGACAUAUGGAUAUAAUAUUAGGAGCAUUUAUUCAGAUGGUUUCUGCUGAUUGUGUACUCACAGGAAAGAUGGUGCCUGGGUGGGCCAUCUUCUAUCCGGAUAUUCCUUGCCAAUGGAAGAUCCUGGCCAAUCAAAAGGAAAACCUAGAGCCGAAGAUAUAGGAGGUACUUGGAAACAAGCCAUCAAAGUUGCUUUUGAUGCUACCAAGGCCGCUUUCCCUGGAGGGGAAAUUUUGGCACAUCUUGAUCAAAAGAGUUUUAAGAGCUGGCAAAAGAAUGCCAUUAUUGAAUUUUUAGGCCAGCAGAACAUAAAAGUUGGCAAGCCUGCUGAUUUUCACUGAUUUUGAAGAUUGCAGUCAACUACAUUGGAUUUGGAUUUCCUCUUAUAUUGAGCUUCCUCAACCCCCUGGCCGAGUAUCAUCCCACUCAAAGUACAAACGACAGACUACGGGACCAUGUUGAUGCAUUCUGGAAGUGUAGUAUCUCUAUUCUUGCAUUUUUCCCCAUAAGCUGAUUCAUUUGCGUAGAAUCAUGUUAUCAAAUGUUAUAGUACGCUAGAGAUAGUAAUUAGCUCUGAAGUGUAAUAGCGGAAUACUGGGAAUAUGAGAGAAUUUUGUUGACCAAUAAUCCUACUUUUACAUGAGCAACCUGUUUAGAAGCAACUGGAUUCUUCUUCCUUUUGGAUGGCAUGUGUUUUCAGCAUCAUUCAGAAAUUUACAUCAUAAAAAUCACAG